rnacentral:rRNA from 1 species
CCUGCGGAGGAUCAUUACUAGAGCAAAGGAUAGACAGCGCCCGCGGAGCUCGCUCCCGGGGCUACCCUACUCCCGUAGGGUUUAGAGUCGUCGGGCCUCUCGGAGAAGCUCGGUCCUGAACUCCACCCUUGAAUAAACUACCUUUGUUGCUUUGGCGGGCCGCCUCGUGCCAGCGGCUUCGGCUGUUGAGUGCCCGCCAGAGGACCCCAACUCUUGUUUUUAGUGAUGUCUGAGUACUAUAUAAUAGUUAAAACUUUCAACAACGGAUCUCUUGGUUCUGGCAUCGAUGAAGAACGCAGCGAAAUGCGAUAAGUAAUGUGAAUUGCAGAAUUCAGUGAAUCAUCGAAUCUUUGAACGCACAUUGCGCCCUCUGGUAUUCCGGGGGGCAUGCCUGUUCGAGCGUCAUUAUAACCACUCAAGCUCUCGCUUGGUAUUGGGGUUCGCGGUUUCGCGGCCCCUAAAAUCAGUGGCGGUGCCUGUCGGCUCUACGCGUAGUAAUACUCCUCGCGAUUGAGUCCGGUAGGUCUACUUGCCAGCAACCCCUAAUUUUUUUAAGGUUGACCUCGGAUCAGGUAGGGAUACCCGCUGAACUUAAGCAUAUCAAUAAGCGGAGGAA